rnacentral:rRNA from 1 species
AAGCGUGCGCAGGCGGUUUGUAAGACUGUCGUGAAAUCCCCGGGCUCAACCUGGGAAUGGCGAUGGUGACUGCAAGGCUAGAGUUUGGCGAGAGGGGGGUAGAAUUCCACGUGUAGCAGUGAAAUGCGUAGAUAUGUGGAGGAACACCGAUGGCGAAGGCACGCCCCCUGGGUCAAAACUGACGCUCAUGCACGAAAGCGUGGGGAGCAAACAGGAUUAGAUACCCCAGU